rnacentral:rRNA from 1 species
GACGGGUGAGUAAUGCCUAGGAAUCUGCCUGGUAGUGGGGGAUAACGUUCGGAAACGGACGCUAAUACCGCAUACGUCCUACGGGAGAAAGCAGGGGACCUUCGGGCCUUGCGCUAUCAGAUGAGCCUAGGUCGGAUUAGCUAGUUGGUGGGGUAAUGGCUCACCAAGGCGACGAUCCGUAACUGGUCUGAGAGGAUGAUCAGUCACACUGGAACUGAGACACGGUCCAGACUCCUACGGGAGGCAGCAGUGGGGAAUAUUGGACAAUGGGCGAAAGCCUGAUCCAGCCAUGCCGCGUGUGUGAAGAAGGUCUUCGGAUUGUAAAGCACUUUAAGUUGGGAGGAAGGGCAGUUACCUAAUACGUGAUUGUUUUGACGUUACCGACAGAAUAAGCACCGGCUAACUCUGUGCCAGCAGCCGCGGUAAUACAGAGGGUGCAAGCGUUAAUCGGAAUUACUGGGCGUAAAGCGCGCGUAGGUGGUUUGUUAAGUUGGAUGUGAAAUCCCCGGGCUCAACCUGGGAACUGCAUUCA